UACGGCGGAAUGGGUGGAUACGGAGGAAUGGGUGGAUACGGCGGAAUGAGUGGAGGUGGAUAUGGAGGAUAUUGGCCAGGUGGUAAUAGAUAUUGGUGGACAUAUGGUAGAAGAAUUGGAAGUGGGAGAUGGUCAAGCUCUAAGAAAGGAAGUGUUUACUAGACUGGUUCUUUCAGAAUGACACAGACGAUAUGGAAUUCCUUUUUAUAUAUACAUCUUAUAUACUAGUAGAUAUUAGUAAACUUUGCAGCCCA